rnacentral:rRNA from 1 species
UGAGUCCUACGGGGGGCAGCAGUGGGGAAUAUUGCACAAUGGGGGGAACCCUGAUGCAGCGACGCCGCGUGAGUGAAGAAGUAUUUCGGUAUGUAAAGCUCUAUCAGCAGGGAAGAAGAUGACGGUACCUGACCAAGAAGCCCCGGCUAACUACGUGCCAGCAGCCGCGGUAAUACGUAGGGGGCGAGCGUUAUCCGGAUUCACUGGGCGUAAAGGGAGCGCAGGCGGCACGGCAAGUCCGGUGUGAAAGCCCGGGGCCCAACCCCGGGACUGCACUGGAAACUGCCGGGCUGGAGUGUCGGAGG